UUCCGUAGGGGAACCUGCGGAGGGAUCAUUACACAAAUAUGAAGGCGGGCUGGAAUCUCUCGGGGUUACAGCCUUGCUGAAUUAUUCACCCUUGUCUUUUGCGUACUUCUUGUUUCCUUGGUGGGUUCGCCCACCACUAGGACAAACAUAAACCUUUUGUAAUUGCAAUCAGCGUCAGUAACAAAUUAAUAAUUACAACUUUCAACAACGGAUCUCUUGGUUCUGGCAUCGAUGAAGAACGCAGCGAAAUGCGAUAAGUAGUGUGAAUUGCAGAAUUCAGUGAAUCAUCGAAUCUUUGAACGCACAUUGCGCCCUUUGGUAUUCCAAAGGGCAUGCCUGUUCGAGCGUCAUUUGUACCCUCAAGCUUUGCUUGGUGUUGGGCGUCUUGUCUCUAGCUUUGCUGGAGACUCGCCUUAAAGUAAUUGGCAGCCGGCCUACUGGUUUCGGAGCGCAGCACAAGUCGCACUCUCUAUCAGCAAAGGUCUAGCAUCCAUUAAGCCUUUUUUCAACUUUUGACCUCGGAUCAGUGUCA
rnacentral:rRNA from 1 species